GCCAUGCAUGUGCUAGUUCAAAACCUUGCUUCGGAGGUAGAAACUGCGAAUAGCUCAGUACAACAGUUAUAGUCUGCUCGCCCGACAUAUAGCGUGGAUAACUGUGGCAAAUCUACAGCUAAUACAAUGAAAAACGCCAUGCCGAAUACGGUAGGGUGUCAUUCACAAGCUAAACCAACACCGCCGGCGUCUGCUGGGAGGAGGUGAGGCUACGUAACUACGAUUGCCGCACAUUUGCGGGGGGUUGAUUGAAUGUCUGCCCUAUCAUCUAGACGGUAAGGUAGUGGCUUACCGUGGAGCUCACGGGUAACGGGGAAUCAGGGUUCGAUUCCGGAGAGGGAGCCUGCGAGACAGCUACCACAUCCAAGGAAGGCAGCAGGCGCGCAAAUUACCCAAUCCAGACGCUGGGAGGUAGUGACGAGGAAUACUAGAGGCGGACUACAUACCGUCUCUGGAAUGAACGUAACACAAACAAUUCGUCGACCAACUACUGGAGGGCAAGUCUGGUGCCAGCAGCCGCGGUAAUUCCAGCUCCAGUAGUGUAUAUCAACAUUGUUGUGCUUACAACGCUCGUAGUCCAGUUUGAAGGUACUGGAAGCGAAGUAGUAUAUAUAAGCGUAUGAAACGCUGAAUGCCGGAUGUGCUUCACGGCAAGAUCGAGUGCCGGGAGCAAGCAUGGUUGGACCUUUAUGGUCGUCGACCUCUAAAGCCAACCUCUUGGGCGGUUGUGUCAAGCGGAGCGUCGAUGUCAGGGCGCCCUGAAUAAAGCAUAGUGCUUAAUACAAACGAAUGGUUAGCGUGUGAAAGCAUGGAACAAGUUGCGACCAUCAAUAACCUACUCCCCGGAGUUUCUGGGAGGUAGCUACUUUCAUACGUGUUGGCUAUGAAGCUGGUCUCACCGGCUACAGGGGUUCUAGACGGCAGAGGUAUUUCGCGGCGAGAGGUGAAAUUUUUAGACCCGCGAGAGACCAUCCAAGGCGAAGGCACUUGCCUA
rnacentral:rRNA from 1 species